UGGGGAAUAUUGGACAAUGGGCGCAAGCCUGAUCCAGCCAUGCCGCGUGAGUGACGAAGGUCUUCGGAUUGUAAAACUCUUUUGGCGGGGACGAUAAUGACGGUACCCGCAGAAUAAGCCCCGGCUAACUUCGUGCCAGCAGCCGCGGUAAUACGAAGGGGGCUAGCGUUGUUCGGAAUCACUGGGCGUAAAGCGCACGUAGGCGGAUGUGCCAGUCAGGGGUGAAAUCCCGGAGCUCAACUCCGGAACUGCCUCUGAUACUGCACGUCUUGAGUUCGAGAGAGGUGGGUGGAAUUCCUAGUGUAGAGGUGAAAUUCGUAGAUAUUAGGAAGAACACCGGUGGCGAAGGCGGCCCACUGGCUCGAUACUGACGCUGAGGUGCGAAAGCGUGGGGAGCAAACAGGAUUAGAUACCCAUGUAGUCCCUGAGCGGGCUGGCAAGGCGCAU
rnacentral:rRNA from 1 species